rnacentral:lncRNA from 1 species
UAUUGGACUGUCAUAUUGUUAUUGGGAGCUAUGUUUUUAUGAAUGAUUAUAUCAGAUUCCUUUGGUUUUAAUGAAUAAUUUUCACUUUUAAUUUUUUCUUUGGUAUUAAUAUUGCUUCCUUUGCUUGCUUUCUUUUUAUUCAUGCCUUCUUAAAUAUUUUCCCAUAUUUUUAUAUUGCUUUUUUCCAAGUUGGGUUUCCUGUAAAUAAGACAUAGCUAUAAUCCUGAGCUCUUAAAGACAAGAGUCUCUUCAGUCUAGAGUAAAUAAUUAUAUUUACUAUAUUUAUACUAGAUUAUAUUAUGAUCAUUUUUAUCAUAAAUAUUUUCUUAUCUUUCCCGUCAACUGGUAACACUGAGAAGAUCUGGUUAGCUAUGCUUUGAAUGGUCCUGGACUGGCAGGGCAGUGAAUUCUCAGUUUUCCCUUCUGUCUCUUUGGCAACCUGGAGUCUGUGCUCUCACCCAUCUCUAAAGAAAGCAGGGUCUCUCCUUCUCUUACUUUGGCCUAAAAGAAAAUGAUAUUAUCUGAACCAGCCAGAGUCCAAACCAGCAGAACUCCUUCUUAGCACUGCUUUCCUUCCUCAAGAAGAGAGGAUUGAUAUCUGAGCCUAGAAGGAAAGAUUUCAAGAGAUGGGUAUCAAAUAGCCUUAAAGGCUGGUGUGUACACCCAGAAUCCUACUAGACAUUUGACCUUGGGUAAAUUCCUUAACAUCUUUAUAUCAUCUUGUUUUCAUUUAUUAAACUGAGAUAAUAAGGUCUAUUUCACAGACCUACUGGAGGCUUUAUGUGUGAAAAUCUAUCAAAAUGUAAUGCAUUUUGCAUCAGCAUCCCAUAGAAGCCCAUGCUAGUAAUAAUGUCCAGCAGAGAAAAAAAUCUCACUGGAAAAUAGAACACACAGUGGAUGCAACUGCUAUGAAUCCCACUGACCUCAACUCGGCCAACUUUCCUCCCACUGAUGGUGGAUGCCAAGACACCAAGGUCUCUUCCUUACUUUUCACCGAGAUGCCUGUUAAACCAUUAGUACUCCUACAAGAAACGCUUCAGACUUCCCUUGGACAAACACCUGAGAAUACUAAUGGCAAAGGUUGGCUUCGGUUCCUUUUUGUUCAAGGCUUCAUGUCAGAUUAUAUCAACUAGCACUGCCUGAAGAGAGUCACUAACUGCCAGGUGGCUUAGAAGGACUCAGAACACAAAGCCAAGAAUGCUUCUCAAAUUCAGCCUAAAUGACC